rnacentral:tRNA from 1 species
GCCGAUGUAGCUCAGUUGGUAGAGCAGCUCACUCGUAAUGAGCAGGUCGUCCGUUCGAGUCGGAUCAUCGGCUCCA